CGAGCGGAAGGCCCCUUCGGGGGUACUCGAGCGGCGAACGGGUGAGUAACACGUGAGCAACCUGCCCCUGACUCUGGGAUAAGCCCGGGAAACUGGGUCUAAUACCGGAUAUGACGCAUUCUCGCAUGGGAUGUGUGUGGAAAGUUUUUCGGUUGGGGAUGGGCUCGCGGCCUAUCAGCUUGUUGGUGGGGUGAUGGCCUACCAAGGCGACGACGGGUAACCGGCCUGAGAGGGCGACCGGUCACACUGGGACUGAGACACGGCCCAGACUCCUACGGGAGGCAGCAGUGGGGAAUAUUGCGCAAUGGGCGGAAGCCUGACGCAGCGACGCCGCGUGGGGGAUGACGGCCUUCGGGUUGUAAACCUCUUUCAGCAGGGACGAAGCUAACGUGACGGUACCUGCAGAAGAAGCGCCGGCUAACUACGUGCCAGCAG
rnacentral:rRNA from 1 species